rnacentral:rRNA from 1 species
CAGCCGCCGCGGUAAAACGUAGGUGGCAAGCGUUGUCCGGAAUUAUUGGGCGUAAAGGGCUCGCAGGCGGUUUCUUAAGUCUGAUGUGAAAGCCCCCGGCUCAACCGGGGAGGGUCAUUGGAAACUGGGAAACUUGAGUGCAGAAGAGGAGAGCGGAAUUCCACGUGUAGCGGUGAAAUGCGUAGAGAUGUGGAGGAACACCAGUGGCGAAGGCGACUCUCUGGUCUGUAACUGACGCUGAGGAGCGAAAGCGUGGGGAGCGAACAGGAUUAGAUACCCCCGUAGUCCCUGUCUCUUAUAC